GUCAUGUCUGACUUUAAACGAGUGAAUCCUUAUUGAGUUCACUCAUUUACUUUCCUCAUGGGACUGUGUGUGUGCUAGUGCUUAAGGUCCCAGCAGGUGGUUUGAAAAUUUGGUAUCUAACAGCACGUCUGCCCUUUCUUUCCUGCCAUGACUAGAUGUUAAAAAAAAACAUAAGAAAAGAGGGAGGCUUGCUGGCCUAGAAUGCUGUAGAUCUAUGGCUUGCUGUAGUUUUUUGCACCCGAUGACCUGCUUUGUGGUCACAGGCACGCCAUGGCAAUAUGUUUGCAGACCUGAGUAUGCCUAUGUUCCUGUAAUUUUAUUGCUAACUUCUCAGUUAACUUAAUCUCUAAUCCUGACUGGGGUUACUUAAUCGUUCAUAGCCCUGGGAUAUCUGCCCCGAUAUAACCCCUUUUGAAAACAAGAAAUAUCCUCUGGUGGGUUGCAGAGCUGCUGUUCUUGGAAUUUUUCCCAACCACAUUCCCUGCAACACCACCACUCAUGGCUGGUUGUCUUCUGGUCUUGCAGAUUCUCUUUCCUGUCUAGACUGCGGUUCUCCAAAGUUUCCAUCACAUCCAAUUCUCAAUCUUGGAUUUAGCUGUUGCUGGGUACAUUUUUAUGACAGCCUCUGUUGCACGCCCAGCUAACCAGAAUCGGCAGGAGCUUACAAAUCUCGGCAUCUGUGCUCCCGGUGAGUCCCAAUCUUCUUCUUCUUGUCUGCAACAAGGUUUUCAGAUCAAGAGCUGGAUGCCUUUCUGGUAGAUGCACUUUGGCUAAGUACAAGUUAAUGGGCUCAGUGUAGGGGUAAUUAGAUUAAAUUUACAUUGAAGGAAAUACAUCAAAGAACCACAUUUACUGUAUGAAACAAGAUCGGACAUCAGAUGAGAAUGUAGAGUACUUGUGAUAUUUCUCCUGCUUCCUGGUCAGGAAUAGCCUCAGAGUAUUUUGCCACAUGUAAGUUAAACCUAAUAAACACCUUUUGAGAUGUUGAUGCAGCUGUAAUGUGUUUGAUAAGUCCCUCUUAUAUAGUUCAAAGUUGUUUCAAAGCUUGAUAACCACUCAUUUGGGGCUUUUAAAA